GAAAUACUUCCUCCGUCCAACAAAGGAUGUCUUAACUUUGACUAAACUUGAAAGCAUCUAUACACUAAGUCAUGUCUAGAUACAUCCAAAAAAUUUCAAACUUGAGACAUAUUUUGCUGGACGGAGGGAGUAAUAU
rfam:Brachypodium distachyon strain Bd21 chromosome 1, whole genome shotgun sequence.